rnacentral:rRNA from 1 species
UACGUAGGUGGCAAGCGUUGUCCGGAUUUACUGGGCGUAAAGCGCGUUCAGGCGGUUUGGCAAGUCGGGCAUGAAAUCUCUCGGCUCAACCGGGAGAGGUUGUCCGAUACUGCUAGACUUGAGGGCAGUAGAGGGUGGUGGAAUUCCGGGUGUAGUGGUGAAAUGCGUAGAUAUCCGGAAGAACACCGAUGGCGAAGGCAACCACCUGGGCCUGUACUGACGCGUGAGGUACGAAAGCGUGGGGAGCAAACA